AACUAAGAAGCGAUAAUUUGCAUCAAGUUUCGGCCUUGACUUAGGUGAUAAUCACCCUUAGUUU
rnacentral:tRNA from 1 species